rnacentral:rRNA from 1 species
UGCAGUCGAGGGGUAUAGAGUGCUUGCACUUUAGAGACCGGCGCACGGGUGCGUAACGCGUAUGCAAUCUACCUUGUACAGGGGGAUAGCCCAGAGAAAUUUGGAUUAAUACCCCAUAGUAUUAUGAAUCGGCAUCGGUUUAUGAUUAAAGUUCCAACGGUACAAGAUGAGCAUGCGUCCCAUUAGUUAGUUGGUGUGGUAACGGCACACCAAGACUAUGAUGGGUAGGGGUCUUGAGAGGGAGAUCCCCCACACUGGUACUGAGACACGGACCAGACUCCUACGGGAGGCAGCAGUGAGGAAUAUUGGGCAAUGGACGCAAGUCUGACCCAGCCAUGCCGCGUGCAGGAAGACGGUCCUAUGGAUUGUAAACUGCUUUUAUACAGGAAGAAACCUCCCUACGUGUAGGGACUUGACGGUACUGUAGGAAUAAGGAUCGGCUAACUCCGUGCCAGCAGCCGCGGUAAUACGGAGGAUCCAAGCGUUAUCCGGAAUCAUUGGGUUUAAAGGGUCCGUAGGCGGCCUUAUAAGUCAGUGGUGAAAUCUCCUAGCUCAACUAGGAAACUGCCAUUGAUACUGUAGGGCUUGAAUUAUUGUGAAGUAACUAGAAUAUGUAGUGUAGCGGUGAAAUGCUUAGAUAUUACAUGGAAUACCAAUUGCGAAGGCAGGUUACUAACAAUAUAUUGACGCUGAUGGACGAAAGCGUGGGGGAGCGAACAGGAUUAGAUACCCUGGUAGUCCACGCCGUAAACGAUGGAUACUAGCUGUUGGGCGCAAGCUCAGUGGCUAAGCGAAAGUGAUAAGUAUUCCACCUGGGGAGUACGAUCGCAAGAUUGAAACUCA